AGAGCUCUGGAAUCGCGGGAAACCGUGCUCUCGUGCCGCAGGCAAAUGGGGCAGCUCGCGCAGGUUUAAAUCUAGCACUCGCCACCACCUCAGGAGACCCUGCUUUGAGCGGGAUUGGAACCGAGGCUGCUACAGACCCAUUCUCAUCUCUCCGGGAUCUGGCCCCUUACGGCUGCCAGGCCGCCGAGGAGGUCUUGUUGACCCAGUACGCGCCUCCGCAGCUUCCCUGCCUCCUCUUUGCGGCUCCCUUUUCCCUCCACCUGCUGUGGGCCCCCGGCCCACGCCGACCCCCCACCCACCGCACUGAGCACGUACGCAGCGGAGCCGAGCUGAGCGCCGGAAGCUCGAGCCGGCGGGUGGCGCGCGGUUCGUCUUUCCCGUUGCUGCCGCUGCGGAUGCUGCUCAAUUAACUGGAUGGGUAAGUUUGAAAAACAAAUUUCCGCUUUGAAAAGCUUUUCACUAUUUCCAUUCUCGGGGUUCUUCAGUUCCUCAAGGGCCUAAAAGCUAAAGACGACCAAGUAAUUUACAAGUCCCAGGAGAGCGUCCUGGUGAAUGUCUGACCCUGUUCUCGGCGUGGGGACAUUAGAACGACCAUCGACCCGACCCCUGCCGUCGUGGAACCUCCCUGCCGGGCAGAGGAACCCGAAGGAAGUGGAAGCACCCCACCAGCCUCGAAGGCUUUCCGUCUUCACUUUGUUCCCAAUGCUGAAGGCCCCCCUGAAGGUGGCUGUGGUCACACCGAGUCUCACCACCAGCCUAUUCGGGAGACUCCAAGGCAGCCCACCCAAGAAUCACUCAAAACGCCAGAACGCAAAGAACACAAACCAGCUGCACGUGGGACCCGAGCCAAAGACGCGUAGGUGAGGAGUUUCAGGCUCCACCUAAUGAGCCCAUGGGGACACCAAAGGAGCCCGUCCCCGUGCCGUCGUCAGGACAGCUCUGGAGCUACUUCGGAAGUCGCCAAGUAGAGGGACUCCGCCCCUCCCCCCCGCUGAGAGCCGAGUCCGCACCUUACCCAUCAGCAAACGAGGCUCAGAAAGAGAGCACGGCCUUGGCUCUGCAACACACACGGCUCCAGCUGGACUAGAGUGUGGCACAGGCCAGUCACCUUGUGGUCAGGGCCCAAGGGGUCGCUGAGGCUGGAAGAGGCGGUGAGCAGCAGGGCAAGGGCUGGGAGCCUUGUGCGGCUGCAUCCAGCCUUGCGCCGCUGGGAAUCGCCUCCGCUUGUGCUCUGUCCGCCUGGGAAAUGUCACCUUGACUUUCAGGGUUUUCAUCUGCAGGGGCCGAAGCAGGGAUCCUGUGUGGGUGGAUUCCCCGGGAUCGGAUCGGUGGGAUGGGAUUUGGAUUUUUCACCGCUACUGCUCAGGUUCGAUUCCGAUCCAGGAGACUUUGUGGCGCUGUCUCCAUACUUAGGAUUUGCCUUUUCAUCCCCCAGAGUCUGGUGUGCACCCAGGGACGCUUGCAGAAGUGGCUGUGCACUGAGCCCCUAAAAUACGGGAGGUCAGGAGUCCGGGUCCUUGUAAUGGCCAGGCUGGGAGAGGAGAGCUGGGAUGAGAAGCCAGGCCAGCGGCUCCCUUCCAUUCACCUCAGAAACCCAAGGUCUCACUUCAAGCGUUUUCCUCUAAAGAGAACCUGGCACUUGACUUUGUCACUCCUUUCAAACACACAAACAAACAAGCAAAC